rnacentral:misc_RNA from 1 species
UUAAGUUCAGCGGGUAUUCCUACCUGAUCCGAGGUCAACCUUUGAUGAGGUUUAACGGCGCGUCCGGUCGUCCUCGCCAGCGAAUUGAUGAAACCACAACGCUGAGAUCAAACCGUCCAGCCGAUCACUUCGAGGCGCGGCAGACUGCCGUCGCCCAAUACCAAGCCAGGCUUAAGGGGUGUAAUGACGCUCGAACGGGC